UACGUAGGGGGGCUAGCGUUGUCCGGAAUUAUUGGGCGUAAAGAGCGUGUAGGCGGUUCGAUAAGUCUGCUGUAAAAGUCGGGGGGCUCAACCCUCGAAGGCCGGUGGAUACUGUCGAGCUAGAGUACGGAAGAGGCGAGUGGAAUUCCUGGUGUAGCGGUGAAAUGCGCAGAUAUCAGGAGGAACACCAAUUGCGAAGGCAGCUCGCUGGGACGUAACUGACGCUGAGACGCGAAAGCGUGGGGAGCAAACAGG
rnacentral:rRNA from 1 species